AGCCCCCCGGUGCCGGUAGCGGGAGCGGCAGCAGCUUCCCCGCCCGAGCAGGGGGGAGCAGGCAGCGGGCGAGGGCAGCCCAGCCCUCCCGCGUCCCGCCGGCCUCUCGCGAUGUCGCUACGGGCCCUGCGAGACUCGGCAGCGGGCGCUGCCAGUUGCUAAGGGCCGUCGGCCGCGGAGACGCGCGGCCGCCGGGACGAGGAGGGGAGGGCAGGGCUGCUGCUGCCUCAAGAUGUCUCACUUUACAAGCGAAGAUGAAGCUCUGUUACAGUCUAUGCUUAGACAGUUGCUGCAGAGUGUGAAGGAAAAAAUCACUGGAGCCCCAUCAGUAGAAUGUGCAGAAGAGAUUCUCUUGCAUUUGGAGGAAACAGAUGAGAACUUUCACAACUAUGAGUUCGUGAAAUAUCUUAGACAAUAUAUAAAUAAUACUGUGGGAUCUGUGAUUGAAGAAGAAACAGAAAAAUGUACUUCUGCUCAAAACCAGGGGGAAGUAUCUGGCUAUGACACACUUGUCCAACAUGUUACUAAGAAAACCCGUGAGUCAAAAGAAUACAGAGAAAUGAUGCAUGCCUUGAAGAAUGUCAUGAUGGUUGUAGUAGAAUCUUUGAUUAACAAGUUUGAAGAAGAUCGGAUGCGUAAUAAGGAGCUGGAUAGUAAAACAAGGAAUGGACGUCAGAGUGGCUGUUACACAGACAACUGUUCUGACAGUGACUCCUCACUUAACCAAAGUUAUACAUUCAUGAGUCAAGAACAGUUGCAGCUGCUUGUGGAAAGGCUUGACCCUAUUCAGCCUAAGGAAGUUCGCCAGGAAGCGUUGCAGACACUGUGCUUUGUUCCUCCCUCUGAUAUACUGAACUCUGAGGGUUGGCCAACUCUGCGUAAGCAUCUAACAGCGUCUCUGGCAGAUCCUGAUGCAACACUCGGUGAGAAAGUUCUUAGGUUCUAUGCAAAAACCUUUUCUUCUUCUCCAUUUAAUAUGACGAGAGAUGUCUAUACAAGUUUAGCAAGACACUUGGAGUUGUACUUUCUUUCCGGAGAAUAUUCUCUUCGUGUUUCAGCUGGUCUGGAUGUAUCUAACACAGAUGUAAAUCGUUUACUUAAAAAGGUCCGCCUUCUGAAUGAGUACCAAAAGGAAGCUCCAUCUUCCUGGAUUCGUCAUCCAGAAAAGUACAUGGAAGAAGUAGUGGAGAGUACCUUGUCACUUUUGUCAGUAAAACACGAGGCUAAUCCAGAUUUUUUGAGUCCAGUCUACUUCUUGGCUUUGCUAGAUAUCAAAGCAGUAUGGUUUAAAAAGUGGACGCAUGCGUAUUACAGCAGAGCAGUGGUACUUAGGCUUUUGGAAAAGAAGUAUAAGUCUUUGAUUAAUGCAGCUGUCCAGCAAUGUCUUGAUUAUUUUGAAUUUUGCAAGGCAGUAGUAAAUAAAAAAUCCAGAGUCAAUGACUUCUUCCAGCAGGACUCUAGUGAUAAACAGAACUUUUCUUACACUGGAUCAGGGUUGCAGUAUAUCUAUUUUGUUCAUUCACUGUGCCUCUUGGGAAGAUUGUUGAUCUAUAAGCAAGGCCGAAAUCUCUUCCCAGUACAGCUGAAAAAUAAGAAAGAUAAUAUAUCCAUAACCGAUCUGUUGGUAUUAUUUACUCAGCUUAUUUAUUGUUCUCCAAGUUACCCAAAGGCACCUGUGGCAGCACAUGCAGACAAUUAUUCUCCAGCAAGUCUUGUAAUGGAGAUUCUGCAAGUUUUUUGUGAUCAAACAGGAUGUACUGCUGAAUGUUUAUAUACGGAUGCAGUGAUAGAUGCCCUACUUCAUCCUGUUCAAAGUUUACUGAGUGGCACAGAGGUGUAUAUAAAUUGCCUUGAAACCACUUUAAUUGAUGUAGCUGAUAUUUUGGCAAGGAUUGCUGCUGUAGAUGAUGGUCUUUCUCUUCUUCUUUAUGGAGAAAAUGAAAAAACUGCUAAAGAAAAUCGCCCUACAGCUGUUCAUAUAAUUGUUCAGUUUACAAAGAAACUUCUUCAUGACGACAUUUCUCAUUUAUCUGGAUCCGAGCUUUUGCCAGUUGUUAAAGGAGCUUUCAUUUUUGUAUGUCGUCAGAUGUACAGCACUUGUGAAGGCCUGCAGAUGUUAAUUCCUUAUGGCUUGCAUGAAUCUAUCGCAGAGGCCUGGAAAAAGACAAGUUUGCUUUCAGAAAGAGUACCCACUCCUGUAACUGGCGUGGAGUCGACUUCAUCAAUAAGCCUGGAGUCAAAAAACACUUUGUUAUGGGAAGAGACUUUGUUAGAUGCCUUGCUAAAUUUUUCUGCCACACCCAAAGGACUAUUUCUGCUUCAUAGUACGGGUGCCUUGAAUGACUGUGUGAACUUUAUGUUCAGCAGUUUAUCAAAAAAACUCCAGGUAGAUGAAUAUGAAGAGUUUGGUAAUAGAGUGAUUGUUACACAAAUGGCAACAACACCGACAGGUGCAGUAGCUCUACAGAGUUCAGGCUUUAUAAAGGCACUUGUAACUGAACUAUGGGCUCUUUUGGAGUGUGGAAAAGAUGAUGUGAGGAUAACCCAACCUAAAUCUACUCCGGUUGACCCUAUUGACCGAAGUUGUCAGAAGUCUUUUCUGUCUCUGAUAAACUUGCUCACUUACCCUGCAGUUUUUGAGCUCCUGAGUAAACAAGAUAUACCAAAUAAACAAAUGUAUUCACUCCGAGAAGUACCUACAGAUGUUAUUGAUAUCAUUGACAGGCUUAUAAUUUUGAAUUCAGAAGCUAAAAUUCAUUCCUUAUUCAAUUAUGAACAAUCACAUGUCUUUGGUCUGAGGUUGUUAAAUGUGCUGUGCUGUGAGCUCAAUACCCUUUUACUCUUGGAGACUCAGUACAAGGUGUCACAAGUUUUACUGACUGCUCAGGAGGAAAAUGUCACAGAACCUUCAGAAGGACCAGGAGAUUUUAUAAUUGAUGCUCUAUCAGUGGAGAGGAACCAUGUUCUUGUAAGGAUAAAUCUAAUUGGAGGACCACAGGAAAGGAUUUUGCCUUCGAGAGUACUAGAUGAGGGCAAUGAUCCAUACAUUUGGCCAAUGUUUUCAUCAUUCCCUUUGCCAAGGUGCUAUCUUGCAGAAAUCCCUAGGAAAGCCAAAUUCAGACAAGAUAAAGAUCUUGAUAAGCUCUUAUUGCUCUUAAAAAGUCCAGAGAAGCAAACUGGUUGGACAGAAAUUUGUAGAAAACUCUUCUGCAAAGUCAUGAAAGCCAGACCAGAAAUCAUUAGUGGAACAAUUCUGGCAGAAUUAAUUGAAAAGUUUGUGUCGCAACUUUCUGAAAGCCAAUCAGAUUGUUAUUUCAGCACAGAAAACUAUAAAGCCACAGAUGUAGAUGUGAAGAAUGAAAGCCUUUCAUCUGUUCAGCAGCUUGGUGUUGAAAUGACAGUCAGAUAUGGAAAAUACCUAAACUUGCUGGAAGAACAUGCUGAAAAUGAUCUGUGCUUUGUGUUAAUGAAUUGUGAGAAGUUUCUGAAACAACAUCAGAGAACUGUGGUAUCCUCACUUCGCUGCUUGCAAGAACGCUCUUCUGGCUAUGACUGGUUCGCCUCUUCCAUCUUCCUCAUCAUGUCAGGGGACGGGGAGAAGACACUGACGUUCCUUCAGGAUUUUUCACGUCUUCUUGUUUCAGCAUUUCUUUGGCUACCAAGACUGCAUAAAUCUAAGUGAUCGUCUUGGUCCACUCACAGCCCUGAGUCCAGCCCUAAGGUUGUUCCAGCACAACGAAAUGUUGCUCCAUUGUUUGAAUGUGAUUGUGCUGAACAACUGUCAGUGUUGUCUUCCAUACAAGACCUUGUCAGCAUUGCAGGCAGGUUCAUCUGCCUAUUACCACAGUGGAAUCUGGCAUCCAUCCAGUCUAUUUUUGCAGUGGUCACUACAUCGAAAUGCUGCUGAAAGCUGAGUUGCCACUUGUCUCUUCAGCCUUCCACAUGUCUGGUUUCACUCCAUCUCAGAUUUGUCUUCAAUGGAUAACUCAGUGCUUCUGGAAUUACAUGGACUGGAGUGAGAUCUGUCACUACAUUGCUACAUGUAUUUUCCUGGGUCCUGAUUAUCAAAUAUAUAUGUGUAUUUCUGUGUUCAAACACCUGCAGCAAGACAUUCUGAAGCACACUGAAGCCCAAGAUCUCCAGGUUUUUCUUAAAGAAGAAGCACUCCAUGGAUUUCGAGUGAGUGAUUAUUUAGAAUACAUGGAAAGCCUGGAGACAAGCUACAGACAUAUGCUGCUGAAAGACAUGAAGAACAUAAGAGUACAGAAUACAUGAAUGAAGCAAACAAGCACUUUAUUUUCCAGGUUUUUUUACAUCCUUGAAAAGGAUGCUGAUUGAUAUAUGCGUCUCACCUAAAAUAAGUCAGUCGGUGUAAAUAUACCUACUGUAAAAUAAAUAAAGAGGGGUUUUUUUCAGGAAAAUAGUUUUUGCAAAAGGACUUAAUCUAAGUUUGAUGAUCAAAAAUCACACAUUUUUGCAGAUGGGCUGUAUGCACAGCCCCAUUUUCAGCUGGCAGAAGGCAACUUCAGAACCCACAUGUAGGACACUGAAGUGUCUUCCUUAGAACCUGCAGUAACGUUUUCUUUACAGAAUGUCUGGAAUCUCAAAAUAUUUUGAUGAGAAUAUGUGAUAUAAUUAAUGUUUUAGAAGUCUAACAGAAACCACAAAUGUUUAACUUAGAUUUAUCCAAUAUCAUUAUCCCUGUGAGACAAACUAAACAUUACUGCAAAGUUCUUGAAGAGCAAUUUCACUAGAUAAAAUGAAUGUGUGAGCACAUACACAAACUGAAAUUAUAAAAUACAUUAGAACCUGCAGUUGAAAUUUCUGUAAUUAUAUGCAACCUCAGAGUGCGCAGCACUGACAAAGGUUUUGCCACUAAUUUCUGUUUUCCUGAUUGUGCAUUUCAUAAGUUCAUAUGUUUAGGUUUUUUUUUCCUGUCUAUAAAAUAAAUGUUUGAAAUAUUUUUGGA